GAUGAACGUUGGCGGUGUGCCUAAUACAUGCAAGUCGAACGGAGUUAAUAGCAAUAUUGACUUAGUGGCGAACGGGUGAGUAACGCGUUGGUGAUCUGCCUCAAAGUGUGGAAUAACGUCCCGAAAGGAACGCUAAUACCGCAUGUGCUCUCGAUUUUUAGAAAGUUGAGAGUAAAGGAUUUAUUCGCUUUGAGAGGAGCCUGCGUCCCAUCAGCUAGUUGGUAGGGUAAUAGCCUACCAAGGCUUUGACGGGUAGGGGACCUGAGAGGGUGGCCCCCCAAAUGGAACUGAAACACGGUCCAUACACCUACGGGUGGCAGCAGUAGGGAAUAUUAGAAAUGGACGAAAGUCUGAUCUAGCGACACCGCGUGUGCGAUGAAGGCCUUGGGUUGUAAAGCACUUUUUGGAAGGAAUAGGAAGGAAGGUACUUCCAGAAUAAGUCUCGGCUAACUACGUG
rnacentral:rRNA from 1 species